UUAAGUUAGAAAGGGCGCACGGUGGAUGCCUUGACACUAGGAGUCGAUGAAGGACGGGACUAACGCCGAUAUGCUUCGGGGAGCUGUAAGUAAGCUUUGAUCCGAAGAUUUCCGAAUGGGGAAACCCACCAUACGUAAUGGUAUGGUAUCCUUAUCUGAAUACAUAGGGUAAGGAAGACAGACCCAGGGAACUGAAACAUCUAAGUACCUGGAGGAAGAGAAAGCAAAUGCGAUUUCCUGAGUAGCGGCGAGCGAAACGGAACAUAGCCCAAACCAAGAGGCUUGCCUCUUGGGGUUGUAGGACAUUCUAUACGGAGUUACAAAGGAACGAGGUAGACGAAGCGACCUGGAAAGGUCCGUCGUAGAGGGUAACAACCCCGUAGUCGAAACUUCGUUCUCUCUUGAAUGUAUCCUGAGUACGGCGGAACACGUGAAAUUCCGUCGGAAUCUGGGAGGACCAUCUCCCAAGGCUAAAUACUCCCUAGUGAUCGAUAGUGAACCAGUACCGUGAGGGAAAGGUGAAAAGCACCCCGGAAGGGGAGUGAAAGAGAUCCUGAAACCGUGUGCCUACAAAUAGUCAGAGCCCGUUAACGGGUGAUGGCGUGCCUUUUGUAGAAUGAACCGGCGAGUUACGAUCCCGUGCGAGGUUAAGCUGAAGAGGCGGAGCCGCAGCGAAAGCGAGUCUGAAUAGGGCGUUUAGUACGUGGUCGUAGACCCGAAACCAGGUGAUCUACCCAUGUCCAGGGUGAAGUUCAGGUAACACUGAAUGGAGGCCCGAACCCACGCACGUUGAAAAGUGCGGGGAUGAGGUGUGGGUAGCGGAGAAAUUCCAAUCGAACCUGGAGAUAGCUGGUUCUCCCCGAAAUAGCUUUAGGGCUAGCCUUAAGUGUAAGAGUCUUGGAGGUAGAGCACUGAUUGGACUAGGGGUCCUCAUCGGAUUACCGAAUUCAGUCAAACUCCGAAUGCCAAUGACUUAUCCUUAGGAGUCAGACUGCGAGUGAUAAGAUCCGUAGUCAAAAGGGAAACAGCCCAGACCGCCAGCUAAGGUCCCAAAGUGUGUAUUAAGUGGAAAAGGAUGUGGAGUUGCUUAGACAACUAGGAUGUUGGCUUAGAAGCAGCCACCAUUUAAAGAGUGCGUAAUAGCUCACUAGUCGAGUGACUCUGCGCCGAAAAUGUACCGGGGCUAAAUACACCACCGAAGCUGCGGAUUGAUACCAAUGGUAUCAGUGGUAGGGGAGCGUUCUAAGGACAGUGAAGUCAGACCGUAAGGACUGGUGGAGUGCUUAGAAGUGAGAAUGCCGGUAUGAGUAGCGAAAGACGGGUGAGAAUCCCGUCCACCGAAUGCCUAAGGUUUCCUGAGGAAGGCUCGUCCGCUCAGGGUUAGUCAGGACCUAAGCCGAGGCCGACAGGCGUAGGCGAUGGACAACAGGUUGAUAUUCCUGUACCACCUCUUUAUCGUUUGAGCAAUGGAGGGACGCAGAAGGAUAGAAGAAGCGUGCGAUUGGUUGUGCACGUCCAAGCAGUUAGGCUGAUAAGUAGGCAAAUCCGCUUAUCGUGAAGGCUGAGCUGUGAUGGGGAAGCUCCUUAUGGAGCGAAGUCUUUGAUUCCCCGCUGCCAAGAAAAGCUUCUAGCGAGAUAAAAGGUGCCUGUACCGCAAACCGACACAGGUAGGCGAGGAGAGAAUCCUAAGGUGUGCGAGAGAACUCUGGUUAAGGAACUCGGCAAAAUGACCCCGUAACUUCGGGAGAAGGGGUGCUUUCUUAACGGAAAGCCGCAGUGAAUAGGCCCAAGCGACUGUUUAGCAAAAACACAGCUCUCUGCGAAGCCGUAAGGCGAAGUAUAGGGGUGACACCUGCCCGGUGCUGGAAGGUUAAGGAGAGGGGUUAGCGUAAGCGAAGCUCUGAACUGAAGCCCCAGUAAACGGCGGCCGUAACUAUAACGGUCCUAAGGUAGCGAAAUUCCUUGUCGGGUAAGUUCCGACCCGCACGAAAGGUGUAACGAUUUGGGCACUGUCUCAACCAGAGACUCGGUGAAAUUAUAGUACCUGUGAAGAUGCAGGUUACCCGCGACAGGACGGAAAGACCCCGUGGAGCUUUACUGUAGCCUGAUAUUGAAUUUUGGUACAGUUUGUACAGGAUAGGCGGGAGCCAUUGAAACCGGAGCGCUAGCUUCGGUGGAGGCGCUGGUGGGAUACCGCCCUGACUGUAUUGAAAUUCUAACCUACGGGUCUUAUCGACCCGGGAGACAGUGUCAGGUGGGCAGUUUGACUGGGGCGGUCGCCUCCUAAAGUGUAACGGAGGCGCCCAAAGGUUCCCUCAGAAUGGUUGGAAAUCAUUCGUAGAGUGCAAAGGCAUAAGGGAGCUUGACUGCGAGACCUACAAGUCGAGCAGGGACGAAAGUCGGGCUUAGUGAUCCGGUGGUUCCGCAUGGAAGGGCCAUCGCUCAACGGAUAAAAGCUACCCGGGGAUAACAGGCUUAUCUCCCCCAAGAGUCCACAUCGACGGGGAGGUUUGGCACCUCGAUGUCGGCUCAUCGCAUCCUGGGGCUGUAGUCGGUCCCAAGGGUUGGGCUGUUCGCCCAUUAAAGCGGUACGCGAGCUGGGUUCAGAACGUCGUGAGACAGUUCGGUCCCUAUCCGUCAUGGGCGUAGGAAAUUUGAGAGGAGCUGUCCUUAGUACGAGAGGACCGGGAUGGACGCACCGCUGGUGUACCAGUUGUUCUGCCAAGGGCAUAGCUGGGUAGCUAUGUGCGGAAGGGAUAAGUGCUGAAAGCAUCUAAGCAUGAAGCCCCCCUCAAGAUGAGAUUUCCCAUAGCGUAAGCUAGUAAGAUCCCUGAAAGAUGAUCAGGUUGAUAGGUUCGAGGUGGAAGCAUGGUGACAUGUGGAGCUGACGAAUACUAAUAGAUCGAGGACUUAACCAU
rnacentral:rRNA from 1 species